rnacentral:rRNA from 1 species
UGAGCAACCUACCUUAGUUACUGGGAUAGCCCGAGGAAACUCGGAUUAAUACCGGAUAUUCUUAUUUAAUCACAUGAUUUUUUAAGGAAAGGUCAGCCGAACUAAGAUGGGCUCGCGUUCUAUCAGCUAGUUGGUAGGGUAAUGGCCUACCAAGGCUACGACGGAUAGCUGGUCUGAGAGGACGAUCAGCCACACUGGGACUGAGACACGGCCCAGACUCCUACGGGAGGCUGCAGCAGGGAAUAUUGCGCAAUGAGCGAAAGCUUGACGCAGCGACACCGCGUGUGGGAUGACGGAUCUAGGUUUGUAAACCACUUUCAGGAGGGAAGAAAAUGACGGUACCUCCACAAGAAGCCCCGGCCAACUACGUGCCAGCAGCCGCGGUAAUACGUAGGGGGCGAGCGUUGUCCGGAUUUAUUGGGCGUAAAGAGCUCGUAGGCGGUUCAACAAGUCGGUCGUGAAAGUUCAGGGCUCAACCCUGAAAUGUCGAUCGAUACUGUUGUGACUAGGAUACGGUAGAGGUGAGUGGAAUUCCGAGUGUAGCGGUGAAAUGCGUAGAUAUUCGGAGGAACACCAAUUGCGAAGGCAGCUCACUGGGCCGCUAUCGACGCUGAGGAGCGAAAGCUAGGGGAGCAAACAGGAUUAGAUACCCUGGUAGUCCUAGCUGUAAACGAUGGAUACUAGACGUAGGA